GGAUGAGCCCGAGUACGAUUCCCUAGUUGGUGUGGUAAAGGCCUACCAAGGCUACGAUCUUUAGCUGGUCUGAGAGGAUGAUCACCCGCACUGGGACUGAGACACGGCCCCCACUCCUACGGGAGGCACCUCUGGGGAAUAUUGGACAAUGGGCGACAGCCUGAUCUGGAAAUGCCGCGUGAGUGAUGACCGAGUUAGGGUUGUGAAGCUCUUUUACCCCGGAUGAUAAUGCCACUACCGGGAGAAUAAACGCCGGCUAAGUCCGUGCCACCAGCCGCGGAAAUACGUAGGGGGGUAGCGGUGUUCGGAAUUUCUGCGCGUAAAACGUGCGUCUGCGGUAAUUCAAGUCUGAGGAGAACCCCCUGGUGCUCUACACCAGAACUGCCUUUGAAACUAGAUUGCUACACCUGCGGAGAGGGGAGUGUAUUUUCGAGUGUAGAGAUGAUAUUC
rnacentral:rRNA from 1 species